rnacentral:lncRNA from 1 species
AGUGUAUACCCAAUUAAUAAAUGGGUGGAUGAACUAAACAGACACCUCAAAAAAGAAGUAUAGAAGGCCAACAAAUAUAUGAAAAAAAUUUCAACAUCUUUAGCAAUUAGGGAAAUGCAUAUUAAAACUACACUGAGAUUUUGUCUCAUUCUAGUCUGAAUGGCAGCCAUUAAGAAUAUGAAAAAUAAUAGGGGAGCUCGGAUUGUGGCUCAGUGGUGGAACACUUGCCUUGCACAUUUGAGGCAUUGGGUUUGAUCCUCAGCACCACUUAAAAAUAAACAAAUACAAUAAAGGUAUUGUGUCCAGCUAAAACUAAAUAUAUAUAUAUAUAUUUUUAAAAGAAUAUAAACAAUAAUUAAUAUUGGAAAGCAUGUAGAGAAAAGGGAACAAUUUCACACUGUUGGUAGAAUUGUAAAUUAGUACAGAUGCUAUGGAAAUCAAUAUGGAUGUUCCUUAAAAAACUAGGAAUGGAACCACCACAUGACCUAGCUAUACCAUUUCUUGGGAUUUAUGCAAAAGAAUUCAUAUUGACAUACUAUAGCAAUACAUACCCAUGUUUAUAGCAGUGCAAUUCAUAUUAGCCAAGUUAUGGAACUAACCAGGCGUCCGCCAGUUGAUGAAUGGAUAAAGAAAAUUUGGUAUGUAUACAAAAUGGAAUUUCAUUCAGCCAUAAGGAAUGAAAUUAUAUCAUUUGUAGGAAAAUGGAUGGAACUUGAGAACAUUAUUUUCAGCAAAGUCAAGGGUCAUAUGCUUUCUCUCUUAUGUGGAAGGUGGAGAGAAAAAAGGAAAAGAAGGGGAUGGGGAAUCUCGUGAAGAUCAAAGGGAGACCAGUACACCAGAGAAAAGGGACCAAGUGGAGGAGGAGAGGUAGAAUAGGGAAAUAAUGGGAAAUGAUAUUGACCAAAUUAUUAUGUUGUGUGUGUGUGUGAAUAUGAAACAAUGAAUCCCACCAUUAUGUAUAAUUAACAAUGCAGGGGCUGGGGAUGUGGCUCAAGCGGUAGCGCGCUCGCCUGGCAUGCGUGCGGCCUGGGUUCGAUCCUAGCACCACAUACAAACAAAGAAUUUGUGUCCGCUGAAAACUAAAAAAUAAAUAUUAAAAUUUUAAAAAAAAAUUAACAAUGCACCAAUAAAAACAGGGUAAAAAAGAUAUAAGCAAAACAACAACAACAACUUUGUGUGAAACUUAGUAGUAGAUACAUGUCAUCAUACAUUGAUCCCAGCAUCGCAUUUGGAAUGUAAGUCAAAAGGGAACCUAAUGUAACUGUGGGCUUUGGGUGAUAAUGAUGUGUUGUUGAGGUGCAUCAUUUAUAACAGGUUACCACUUUGGCAGAAGAUGUGCAUAAUGAGGAAGGGUAUGCACAUGUAGGAGUAAGGGGAAAUGGGAAGUCUGUCUACCCUCCUCUCAGUUUUGCUCUAAACCUAAAAUUGCUCAAACAAAAUAAAGUUAUAAUUAAAAAGGGGAGAGAUUAUCAUUUUCCAGGCAAAUACAGAAAGAGAUUUACUGAAAGUGUCUUUUUAGGCCAUGAUAUCAGCUAAGGGAAUAAACUGGCUAUUCUAUGCAAGAGACUAUAUGGUCUAAAAUUAGGCCAGCCAGACAUUUGUGGUUUUGUGGUUUCACUUAGACUUGAAAAAUGUUAAUACUGUGCUGUGACAAACAGGAGAUAAACUGAAGAUUCUGAUAGAAAGAACAUAUCUGAUCAUUUGAAUCAUGUCAGGCUAGAAGCUACUUGUGUUUCACAGCUUUUUAAAUGAAGACAGAAAGGCAAAAGUUUGUCUAACAUCUUCUGUGGGUGAUGUCAUAAUCUUUAUUACAUUCAGAUUAGGGGAGAAGAGACUACUCUGGGUGCCAUGUUUGAUUUGCUUGGAGAUUGUUGGUUUAAUGCUUAGAAAUCAUCAUGACUUGUCUUAAUCUUCCUGUAUAUUUCUCUUGCUUUCAAAUUUAUCUUUCUAGUCUAUCCAAAAUAAGUUAUUUACUGUCUUAAACAUGACAUACUGAUUUCCAUUAUCUGAGCCUUUGUCCAUGCUUUCCUUCUGUCUAGAAUAUUUUGCUUGAGUCUUACCUUCAGGUAUUCCCGUCUCUUUUUUCUUUUUUUGGUACCAGGAGGGAUGAAUCUAGGGGGGCUUAACCACUGAGUCAUAACUCCAGCCCUUUUUUAUAUUUUACUUAGAGACAAGGUCUCGCUGAGUUGCUGAGGCAUGCAAUCUGCCUGCCUCAGCCACUCCAGCUGCUGGGAUUAUAGGUAUGCACCCCUGCAUUGGGCCCAGGUACUCCCUUCUCAGUGCAGGCAGUCCACAGCUCACCUCUUACCUUUCCUUCACAGCAGGGAUUAUUUGAGCCAGUUGUUUUGGCUCAAAAUUUUACAGUGCUUUGCUGUUAUAUAUAUGGAUGUCUUAGAUCCUCACUGAAUUAUUUGAAGGCAGAGAGUAUACCUUUUGAGAGUCUUUCAGCACAGUUCUAGUUCCAAGUGAGUCCUCAGUGAGUAGUUUUUUGGGGGAGUGGGGGGUACUGGGGAUUAAACCCAGAGAUGCUCUAUCACUUAGUCAUAUCCCCAGCCUUUAAAAAAAAAAAAAAAAAGACUUUUUAUUUUGAGACAGGAUCUCACUAAGUUGCUGAGUCUGACCUUGAAUUUGCAAUCCUCAUGCCUGCCUCAGGUUCCUGAGUUGCUGCUGGGAUUGUAAGCUUGUGCCUCCACUCCUGGCUCAAUGAGUAAUUUUUUAAAUUGACUUCAGUCCAUUUCAGAAAACUUUCAGUGUCUCUCAAGCAGUAGAGGGUGGAGUACCAUCCCCUGUGACUUUUGCUCUUAAAGACCUCAGUUCUUAAGUGGCACUGUUUCCCAAAACCUCUGAUUUCAUACAGGUGUUUUUUAGUUUUAUAAAUAGAUGAAAUCCAAGGAAUUUGAACCAAAUGGUUUCUUAGGGCUCUUUGAGUUGUUCCCUUUCCUCUCUUACUCAGUGAUUUAAGGUUAGAUUGAGGAGCUAGGGUUGUGGUUCAGUGCUAGAGCACUUGCCUAGCACCUGUGAGGCACUGGGUUUGAUCCUCAGCACUACAUAAAAAUAAAUAAAUAAAGGUAUUGUGUCCAUCUACAACUUAAAAAAAAUAAAUAAACAAACAAAGAAAUAAAUAAAAGGUUAGGUUGGUGGGGGGCAGUACUAGGGAUUGAACCCAGAGGCACGCUGCCACUGGCAGUGUCUUCUCCUAAGUUGCCCAGGCUGGCCUUGAACUUGGGAUUCUCUGCCCUAGCCUUUUGAGUAGAUAAUAUUACAGGUAUGUGCCAUCAUAGAAUUCCUUUUUGGUCACACUGGAAAUAGUUAAUUUUUCUAAUACAAAUAUGUUGUUGGCCCUAUUAUCCCAAUAGAAAUUUUCUUUCUAAGAAACAUCCCUGAGAAUUGUGCUUCCU